AUUGAACGCUGGCGGCAGGCCUAACACAUGCAAGUCGAGCGGAUGAAGGGAGCUUGCUCCUGGAUUCAGCGGCGGACGGGUGAGUAAUGCCUAGGAAUCUGCCUGGUAGUGGGGGAUAACGUCCGGAAACGGGCGCUAAUACCGCAUACGUCCUGAGGGAGAAAGUGGGGGAUCUUCUGACCUCACGCUAUCAGAUGAGCCUAGGUCGGAUUAGCUAGUUGGUGGGGUAAAGGCCUAACAAGGCGACGAUCCGUAACUGGUCUGAGAGGAUGAUCAGUCACACUGGAACUGAGACACGGUCCAUACUCCUGCGGGAGGCAGCAGUGGGGAAUAUUGGACAAUGGGCGAAAGCCUGAUCCAGCCAUGCCGCGUGUGUGAAGAAGGUCUUCGGAUUGUAAAGCACUUUAAGUUGGGAGGAAGGGCAGUAAGUUAAUACCUUGCUGUUUUGACGUUACCAACAGAAUAAGCACCGGCUAACUUCGUG
rnacentral:rRNA from 1 species